CACAACAAUGAUGAGCCAUGUUCGCUUGCUUCAGCGGCCUCGAUUUCAUCAUUGACACUUGCACGGAAAACUACGGACUUUUACGGAUAUAACAGACUUGAAAAUACAGUUUAUGAAAAUAAAUAAAAAGAUGAAUUUACAAUUCAAACUAAUGUAAAACGAGAGAAGGUAACUAUAUUUUUUUAAAAAUGUAAACGAUUAUGUAAUGAUAACUAAUUCCAAUGUUCAUGCUUAAAUUUAGUACCACAAAUUAUAAUUUCUAUUUUAAUUCAACCUAGAGAUUUCACUUCUUUAAGGUUUAGCUGUCUUUGAAAAUGUAAAAUGGAAUGCUGAGAAAAGUUCUUUAUGCAGACGACAUUUUCAGGGGAAAAAAAAUGAAAAGAUUUUGAUUGAUGAACAUAAAAGGAAUUUUAAAUAAGAUGAAUAAAAAAAAAAAAAUUGUUUAUGGUUUAAUUUUAA